UUACGGCCACAUCACGUUGAAACACCGGUUCCUGUAAGAUCACCGAAGUUAAGCAACAUCAAACUUGGGCAAUACCUAGAUGGGUGACCGUCUGGGAAUACCAGG